rnacentral:rRNA from 1 species
GACGAACGCUGGCGGCGUGCUUAACACAUGCAAGUCGAACGGAAAGGCCCUGCUUGCAGGGUACUCGAGUGGCGAACGGGUGAGUAACACGUGGGUGAUCUGCCCUGCACUUCGGGAUAAGCCUGGGAAACUGGGUCUAAUACCGGAUAGGAGCCAUUUUUAGUGUGAUGGUUGGAAAGUUUUUUCGGUGUAGGAUGAGCUCGCGGCCUAUCAGCUUGUUGGUGGGGUAAUGGCCUACCAAGGCGGCGACGGGUAGCCGGCCUGAGAGGGUGGACGGCCACAUUGGGACUGAGAUACGGCCCAGACUCCUACGGGAGGCAGCAGUGGGGAAUAUUGCACAAUGGGCGCAAGCCUGAUGCAGCGACGCCGCGUGGGGGAUGACGGCCUUCGGGUUGUAAACUCAUUUCGCUAGGGACGAAGCUUUUUGUGACGGUACCUAGAGAAGAAGCACCGGCUAACUACGUG